rnacentral:rRNA from 1 species
UAUAUUAAAGAUUCAUCGGUAAGGGAUGGGCAUGCGUAGGAUUAGUUAGUUGGCGGGGUAACGGCCCACCAAGACUGUGAUCCUUAGGGGUUCUGAGAGGAAGGUCCCCCACACUGGCACUGAGAUACGGGCCAGACUCCUACGGGAGGCAGCAGUAGGGAAUAUUGGGCAAUGGGCGGGAGCCUGACCCAGCCAUGCCGCGUGCAGGAAGAAGGCGUUAUGCGUUGUAAACUGCUUUUAUACGGGAAGAAAAGGCCCAUGCGUGGGACAUUGCCGGUACCGUAUGAAUAAGCACCGGCUAACUCCGUGCCAGCAGCCGCGGUAAUACGGAGGGUGCAAGCGUUGUCCGGAUUUAUUGGGUUUAAAGGGUGCGUAGGCGGCCCGUUAAGUCAGCGGUGAAAGUCUGUGGCUCAACCAUAGAAGCGCCGUUGAUACUGAUGGGCUUGAGUGCCGUAUGGGUACAUGGAAUUGAUGGUGUAGCGG